UUUGUUUGAGGAGAGUGAGUCCACAUGCCAGGCCACAGCUGGGGAGAAGAAUGAAGCUGUUCCUGAGAGUUAUUCUGGUGAUUUUGUGGUUUCCAGUGGACUGGGUAAGCAGCCAAAAGAUGGAACAGAAUCCGCAGUCCCUGAGCAUCCAAGAGGGUGAGAAGGCUGUGCUGACCUGUAACUACACGAAUUAUUCUCCAGUGGUCUUCCAGUGGUAUCGACAAGAUCUGGGAAGAGGCCUUGUCUUCUUGCUACUAAUACGUGAAAAUGAGGGUGAAAAACAGACAGGAAGACUGAGAGCCACUUUUGAUAAGACCAUCCAGCAGAGUUCCUUUUAUAUCACGAAGUCCCAGCCUGCCGACUCAGCCACCUACUUCUGUGCUGCAGACACACAGCAGGGCCCUGCCACCUGCUUCCUGCACCCAAACUCUGCCAGCGGCUCAGUCAGCAGAGCUGCUGGCUGUGCUGACCUCAAGGGCUGACCCCAGCUCCAGGCAGAACAAGUGGGGGCCACUUGAAAGGGUUAAAGGCUGUGAGUCAGAGCCCUGGA